rnacentral:misc_RNA from 1 species
AAUUCUCAACCAUGUCUUGAUUGAUUUCGAGAGCAUGGCUUGGAGUUGGGGGUUGCUGGCAGCCAAACUUUAAACUUUGUUUGAGUUGGUCGGCUCUCCUGAAAUGCAUUAGCGAUGGGGUGGCUAGUCUGUGGACGUGCACGGCCUUCGACGUGAUAAUGAUCGUCGUGGCUGGAGCGUCUUAGACCAUGCAUGGAUAGCUCAUCGCUUCUAAUUCGUCUAGAGUCCGAGCUUGAGCUUAGCUACUAGUCUGGUCGUGAGGCCAGUCGAACGCAAGCACAACUUUGACAACUGGAGAUUUUGGAAACUUGAC